ACAGAUUCCUCGGGGUGCUCCCGGCUACGUAAUACUUGCCGGAUGCUGAGAUAAUACCCGUAGAACCUGGACAGGGUAAUGCCUGCGCAGGGAAGGUGGUUCAAAUCUAU
rnacentral:ncRNA from 2 species